rnacentral:rRNA from 1 species
UACGAAGGGGGCUAGCGUUGUUCGGAAUUACUGGGCGUAAAGCGCGCGCAGGCGGUCCUUCAAGUCAGGGGUGAAAGCCCAGGGCCCAACCCUGGAAUGGCCUUUGAGACUAGAGGACUUGGGUACGGGAGAGGUGAAGUGGAAUUCCGAGUGUAGAGGUGAAAUUCGUAGAUAUUCGGAAGAACACCAGUGGCGAAGGCGCACUUACGUGG